UACACUCCUACGGGAGGCAGCAGUGGGGAAUUUUGGACAAUGGGCGAAAGCCUGAUCCAGCAAUGCCGCGUGAGUGAAGAAGGCCUUCGGGUUGUAAAGCUCUUUUGUCAGGGAAGAAACGGUGAAAGCUAAUAUCUUUUGCUAAUGACGGUACCUGAAGAAUAAGCACCGGCUAACUACGUGCCAGCAGCCGCGGUAAUACGUAGGGUGCAAGCGUUAAUCGGAAUUACUGGGCGUAAAGCGUGCGCAGGCGGUUUUGUAAGUCUGAUGUGAAAUCCCCGGGCUCAACCUGGGAAUUGCAUUGGAGACUGCAAGGCUAGAAUCUGGCAGAGGGGGGUAGAAUUCCACGUGUAGCAGUGAAAUGCGUAGAUAUGUGGAGGAACACCGAUGGCGAAGGCAGCCCCCUGGGUCAAGAUUGACGCUCAUGCACGAAAGCGUGGGGAGCAAACAGGAUUAGAAACCCCGGUAGUCCCAUGA
rnacentral:rRNA from 1 species